rnacentral:rRNA from 1 species
UGGGGAAUAUUGGACAAUGGGCGCAAGCCUGCUCCAGCCAUGCCGCGUGUGUGAAGAAGGCCUUUUGGUUGUAAAGCACUUUAAGCGAGGAGGAGGCUACUUGGAUUAUUACUCUAGGAUAGUGGACGCUACUCGCAGAAUAAGCACCGGCUAACUCUGUGCCAGCAGCCGCGGUAAUACAGAGGGUGCGAGCGCUAAUCGGAUUUACUGGGCGUAAAGCGUGCGUAGGCGGCUUCUUAAGUCGGAUGUGAAAUCCCUGAGCUUAACUUAGGAAUUGCAUUCGAUACUGGGAAGCUAGAGUAUGGGAGAGGAUGGUAGAAUUCCAGGUGUAGCGGUGAAAUGCGUAGAGAUCUGGAGGAAUACCGAUGGCGAAGGCAGCCAUCUGGCCUAAUACUGACGCUGAGGUACGAAAGCAUGGGGAGCAAACAGG